rnacentral:rRNA from 1 species
CGAAGGGGGCGAGCGUUGUUCGGAGUUACUGGGCGUAAAGGGCGCGUAGGCGGCGCUCCAAGUUAGGCGUGAAAGCCCCGGGCUCAACCUAGGAAUUGCGCUUAAGACUGGAGUGCUCGAGUGCGGAAGAGGUGAGUGGAAUUCCCAGUGUAGAGGUGAAAUUCGUAGAUAUUGGGAAGAACACCAGUGGCGAAGGCGGCUCACUGGUCCGCAACUGACGCUGAGGCGCGAAAGCGUGGGGAGCAAACAGGAUUAGAUACCCUGGUAGUCCACGCCGUAAACGAUGAGUGCUAGACGUUGGGGGACUCAGUCCCUUGGUGUCGCAGCUAACGCAUGAAGCACUCCGCCUGGGGAGUACGGCCGCAAGGUUA